UACGUAGGUGGCAAGCGUUGUUCGGAAUUACUGGGCGUAAAGCGCACGUAGGCGGCUUUGUAAGUCAGGGGUGAAAUCCCGGGGCUCAACCCCGGAACUGCCCUUGAGACUGCAAGGCUCGAAUCCAGGAGAGGUGAGUGGAAUUCCGAGUGUAGAGGUGAAAUUCGUAGAUAUUCGGAAGAACACCAGUGGCGAAGGCGGCUCACUGGACUGGUAUUGACGCUGAGGUGCGAAAGCGUGGGAGCAACAGG
rnacentral:rRNA from 1 species